rnacentral:rRNA from 1 species
CCAGCUCCAAGAGUGUAUAUUAAAGUUGUUGCAGUUAAAAAGCUCGUAGUUGGAUUUCUGUUUUGGAUGUCCGGUCCGCUCCCUAUGGAGUGCGUACUUAUGGAUGUCCGAGGCAUUUUUUGUGAGGCUGCCUUUCUGCCAUUAAGUUGGUGGGUUGGUGGGCUUGCAUCGUUUACUGCGAAAAAAUUAGAGUGUUUAAAGCAGGCGUUUGCUCAUUUGAAUACAUUAGCAUGGAAUAAUAAGAUACGGCCCUGGUGGUCUAUUUUGUUGGUUUGCACACCAGGGUAAUGAUUAAUAGGGACAGUUGGGGGUAUUCAUAUUUCAGCGUCAGAGGUGAAAUUCUUGGAUCGCUGAAAGAUGAGCUUAGGCGAAAGCAUUUACCAAGGAUGUUUUCAUUAAUCAAGAACGAAAGUUAGGGGAUCGAAGAUGAUUAGAUACCAUCGUAGUCUUAACCAUAAACUAUGCCGACUCGGGAUUGGCAGUCGUUUACCUUAAAUGACCUUGUCAGCACCGUAUGAGAAAUCAAAGUCUUUGGGUUCCGGGGGGAGUAUGGUCGCAAGGCUGAAACUUAAAGGAAUUGACGGAAGGGCACCACCAGGAGUGGAGCCUGCGGCUUAAUUCGACUCAAC